rnacentral:rRNA from 1 species
UACGUAGGUGGCAAGCGUUGUCCGGAUUGACUGGGCGUAAAGAGCGCGCAGGCGGCUGGUCAAGUCCGAUGUGAAAUCUCCCGGCUUAACUGGGAAACUGCAUCGGAAACUGAUCGGCUUGAAGGUGGGAGAGGGUAGUGGAAUUCCUGGUGUAGCGGUGAAAUGCGUAGAGAUCAGGAAGAACACCGGUGGCGAAGGCGCUCUGCUAGGCCGUAACUGACACUGAGGGACGAAAGCUAGGGGAGCGAAUGGG